UGUGUGAAACACUGUCCGCCCCUGUAAAGUUCACUAUAAAAGUUAGGCUAUUCGGGCAAUAAAAUGGAGCAGCAUGAUCUGACUCUGCUGGUGUCUGUCGUGCUUUCGGCCGUGCUUCGCAACAAAAGGAGAUGCAACCCAUCUGGAUUUCAACUUGCAGUUUUACUUCCAGCAACAAAGACAACUUCACUUAGAAUAGAAGGGGCAGAUGCACCCUAACAAACGCAGCGCUUAAUGUAAUGCUCUCCUAUGUUCGUAUUUAUAGAAAAUAUUAACCAGAUGUCUCUUAACAUCUCUGCUCCUUUAGCAGCUGACGGACUGCAAUAAACUGAGCGUUUGCAGCUGCAUUCCUUGAGAAAGACAGAAGACAGAUUCUUUCAACCAUGGCAAACCAGGACUUGCUUGGGAAAAAACGAGAAUGCCUCCAGGCCUACAGCUGGUGGAGAACACCACAGAAAAAACGAAAGAAAAGAACAAAAUAAAACCAGGAAGAAUAGGGUUUGUUAGUUGUAGUAGUUCAGCCAGACCAGAUUAUUCAGUAUUUGUUGGGGAGCUUACCCCAGAAGUGGAUGAUUUCCAGCUCUAUGACUAUUUCCCAAAGAGGUAUCCCUCAUGUAUUGACUGCAAAACAGCAACAGACCUGCUGGGAUAUUCCAGGUAAUUCCAGUGCAAAUGUGUAACGUUAUCAGUGUGUUCGCUUUUAUAAGCGAUAUGUAAGAGCUUGCGUCGGAGCUGUUCCAGUGCUUUUUUUCUGGGGCACGAAGAGUGAGAUUAGUCUUUAGCACUGCUUUUCUUAAUAGCACAGAUCCUUGAGUGUUUUUAAGAGCUUUCCGGUUAGUUCAAGCAGUUACUGUGAUAAGCUUCAACUUACCCAUAUGCAUAUCUACAUGGGGGGAAAAAAAAACAACUAGAAGCUGUGGGAGAAGGAAGAGCUGUGCACUGAAAUCAGCGCUGCUGUGUGUCUACUUAGUCAUCUGCAAUACUGAAGACAAAAUAAUUCCUAUUUUGUUUGGGGAAAAACAUAAGCCCUGGCAAAUCUUAGGGGGUUGGGUGAUGGAACCUAAUGUUAGUAGUAAAUAAAGUCUAGCAGAAACUACUGGCCAUGCAGUGAGUCAAGCAGGAAUGAGCGAGUUUGCUGUUCAGACAAUGCUGCCUGUAAUAGACUAAUUCAAGAACCUUUAGUUUUGUAACUGUUAUGCAUACUAGAAUUUGUUUUCUCCCUUUUGAAAAUUGUAGAAGGCAUGCCUAUGUCAGAUUUGGUGAGCAAGGUGAUCAGAUGAGGGCACUGCAAGACUGCCAGAAUGCACCAGGUCUGGGGGGAAAAUGAAUCCGGCUGAGCAUAGGAAUUUCUAAAAGGUAACCAAUGAGUUGUGCAUUGAUACAGUUAUUCUAAAUAAUCAGAUUCUUGUAGCUCUGCCUUUGUAAAGUCUGUGGCCCUUGCUGUAAUGGCUGUACACAGGAUGCAGUCUACAAAACCAAAAAUGCAGAAGUGCUAUGUUUUGACUCCCUGGAUUCAUCAACCUGUUUCAGGAUGGCUGGGGGAAUCCACCUCUUAUGUCUAGCCAGACAGUGUCACUUGGGCUUAGCUGCCAUUGUAACCAGCCUUCUUUCUCAACAGUAGCAAAGCUGAAUGCAUUCGUAAAUAUUUUCAGGUUUGGGCCUAUAUGAACUAGAAGGGACAACAAGUGGUUUUAUACGCUAGGGAGUUCUUGUUCUUAGACCUUUCCCUCUAGUUUGAGAAGAGCACAGAACUAGUUUCCCAGUGGGCUGACAGGAAAGAAGUGAGGGAACAUCUGGGAAUGCAGGGAGAAAGCCAAAGGAGUUUAUUACUAGAACAGGUGUAGAAUACUAUUCUUUGCUUUUCAUGAGCUUAGGGCAACGGGGAGUUUAAAGUUUAGCACUUCUUGAGAGGGUUUCUUACUCUACUGGCUCAGUUCUAUCAUUUAUUUAGAGCAAUUUAGGUCUCUGAAUAGUUAAAGAACCGAUACCAAAUUUGAUGAACUCUGAUUCAGGAUACUGACAAAAGAGGACUUCAUAUAAACAAUUCCAAUAUGUUCAUGAGGUUAGCUUGUGUGUUCUGUUAAACAGUAAAAAAAUGACACUUCUGUUUCUGUUUACCUAGCAUAAUUCUGCAAAUGUUGCCUCCUGCUUUAGAACAGAAAUGCUCUUCUCCAAGAGAGCACUGUCCAAAAUUUCUUUGCCAAAUUUCUUUAUUAAAUUAAUAUUUUUAUUUUGAAAACAAGAAUAAGCCCCAAACAUGUUUUCUCGCUUUGGCUAUCCAGAUGAAUGUCAACAGUAUUUUCAGAUUUUCCUUCCCUACAGAACUGUAUGUAGGAAGAGUGCAGUUGGAAACAGAAGAUGUAAGAUGAUGUAUCUUCUGUUUGUUUACUACAGUAACAAGACAAUAGAUUACCUCUUUAUUAGAACUUGUGUAGCUUUACAGUAUUGAAACAAGCAUAGGUAUUAAAAGACACAUCAGUAACAAGUUUCUGAAUGGCUGAGUACCAUGCUCUCUUAGCAUUGAAAUAUCCAGCCACUGGAUUAGUUUCAGUUGUGUUUGCUUGUUUUGGAAGCUGUUUCAGAAUGCCUUCAGCCUGUAUUCUUGACAAAAAGCAUAGAACUCACUUCUCUGCAUCCCCAAUUCAAGUCAGAUAAAUUGGGCACUGCAAACACAGAAGGCCUGCCUGUACAGAAUCAGUGAAGAAAAGUCUAAACAGUGGAUUUUUUUUUUAAUAUGCAACUGGGUUAUCUGAACGUAUUUUAUGCAGUGUACAUCAGUUUUAGUAUAGAUAGCACUUGUCUUGGUUCUUGUCCGUAGUCUGAAGCUGCCCCGGAGAAAAUCUUGAAAGGGAAAGUAGUGAAAACUAAUUAGCUGGCCCUUUCUUCUUCAGAACCGCUGUAUUUUGUAAUUCUCCCACUGGUAAGGCUUCCUACUGGACAAUUGUGAUUAUGUAGUUAAGCAAGACUGACUUCACCUGAGUGGUAUACUUGGCAGCUGUUGAAUGUUUCAUGGCCUGUAAACAAACCAAAAAAUCAACUGAGCAGGUGGAGGUAGGCAUGGCAAACUGUCAGGCAGUGUCAGAUGCUUCUUUGAAAUGGAUAAUCUGACUCCAUUCACUUCUUUCUGGAAAUAAGAUCUAGUAAUUAACCAAACAAAAGACAGAAGGGUUAAGACUGCAUCUUUAAAGCAGCUGUGCUGGAUAAAUGUCUCUGGUCUUAAUGAAUCAAUCUUUAGCAAAGCACAGAGACUUAGCAGCAGCUUUCUUAUGCCAACACUAAAAAUACUUGCUAUAUACAGGUAACAAUGUCAAGGCUCUGGAGUUAACAAUUACUUCUGGUAUUGGCAAAGGUGAGGAUGUUUGCUUCUGUAUAGAUGGGGUUUUGUGCUGUGACUUGUAGUCACCUAAGUGAUGAACUCUGAUUCAGGAUGCUGACAAAAGAGGACUUCAUAUAAACAAUUCCAAUGUGUUCAUGAGGUUAGCUUGUGUGUUCUGUUAAACAGUAAAAAAAUAACACUUCUAUUUCUGUUUACCUAGCAUAAUUCUGCAAAUGUUGCCUCCUGCUUUAGAACAGAAAUGCUCUUCUCCAAGAGAGCACUGUCCAAAAUGACAGUAAUAGCCAAAUGCUGAAUAUUAAUUAAAUAAUAAAAACUCGAGACAAUUGAACAACUGUCUAAUUUUCUACAAUAUUUGUUCAAAAUGCAUCGCACACAGGACAACUCCUGAUUCAAAGGUGGCAAUUUUAACAGAAAAGACAAGCUACUAAUACAGACACUAAAGGAAACGCAUCUUGAACAGCAGCUCAAGUUGCUCGUAAAUGUACAUUGAACGUAGUUGUUUUGUGUUUUUUUUUGUUUGUUUGCUUUUUUUUUUUUUUGCUGUUUUGUUUUUAAAUCAGAAGUGAAGUUUUUGAACAAUGUGGAUUUAGAUUCUGCUUCUUUUAAAUUGAUACAGUGAAUGUCACAGAUUUGCAGCUUUUGCAAUAUCUUUAGAACCGAAACUCUUUACUAUUCUUUCUGCACCUGGGCUGAAGGUGGGACAGGAGCGUCGAGUUUUACAAACAUUUCCUUUUCAAUUCCACAAAUUGUAUUUACUUAAAAUGAAACAUUGAUCAUCUAGCUAGUUCUCUUAGUACCUCAGUUACAGUUACAUCCUAACACAUAAAGGAGAUGCAACCCAUCUGGAUUUCAACUUGCAGUUUUACUUCUAGCAACAAAGACAACUUCACUUAGAAUAGAAGGGGCAGAUGCACCCUAACAAACGCAGUGCUUAAUGUAAUGCUCUCCUAUGUUCAUAUUUAUAGAAAAUACUCUCUUAACCAUAAGUUUGUUGUUUGUUUGUUUGUUUGAAAUCAAAAAUGCUAGCGUAUUUUUUAAAAGGAGUUCAUUAUCUCACCAGGGUUUCUUAGAACGUCUAAGACGCUUCCUUCCUUUAAUCCUCAUCCAUAUUUAAAGGGAACUCUGAAGGGAACAGCAACAAAACCUUCCUUCUCCUCUUGCUCAUUGUUGGUGGAUGCGGAUGAGCUAGUUUCUUUUGAAACAAAAGAAAACAAACAGCUGUCACAAUGCGACCUACCUAGAGCACAUUAUACUCACUUGCGUUAGAAACAAGAAUUUCCAACUUUCAUGCUUCUCACCUAAGAACCUUCACCAAUUCUACUUACUUUAUAAUGGUUUAUAAUUACAAGCAAUAAAAACAGAUCUGUCACUGGAAAAAUACUGCGGAAGUCCAACACUGCCCGGAAUUGCUAGCAUGCACAGACAGGACAGGUUUAAGAUUUAAUAAAGAAGAAAAGAAAAAUCAGCACUUCAGAUGUGAAGUGCUAAGAUUUCAGUUACCUAGGGUAAGAAAGGACGUCACGGGCGUAUCACUGGAUCCAGAAAGCUCUGAUGAUUUUACAACGGGAACACUAAAUGUAAACCCAAUCUGCUAUGAACAAGAGAGGUUUUUCAGAGCCACAGGAACGUCAAUCAAAUGCAUACACAAAACCAAAUCUGAAAGCUGGUCUUCACAUUUGUAGCAUGCAUGCUGAAUGACAAAUUACAAGCCAGAAGCCUACAUAGUUCUCUCCAUCAAGGCAGAUUCAGCUUUAGUGUUCUGCAACAGCCUACUAAAUGCCUAAGAAAACAAGUCUAGCUUCUUUAUUAGUUUACUUACAGGAAAUGUAGAUAGCACUUCUGCCUCUGUAGACUUCACAAUUGGAGAUGAAAAUGCAAACGCAGGACUGCUAACACUACUUGUUGGCUGUAUCCGUAUUUUCAAAAGAAUUCAAGGUUUACAUUUAAGAGCAACAACUACCUGAAUUCACUACCCAACACAAGUCCUGCAGUGACGUUGAAAAGCUUGAUGUUUCAGUUAUUUUGCAGACAGAAGUAGUAAUAAAACAAAGUCAAGUUUCCUAGUGGGUAUAGGACAAUAUCUUCACAAGCAAAUUCCAGAAACCCAGAGGAAAAGCUGGAGAUGCUACUUAGGUCUAAAUGCAUGGAAAAGCAAACCAGGAAGCUGAAGAACAGUAAACUCAGCCCAAUGAUACUCCAAGAACUUCAGCAAACACCUCAACAUAUUACAUCAGCUACCUACUUCAAACCAUACAAAAAUAUUUCAAUUGCUCUGGAACAGAUUGAUGUUUAUUUUAUUGCAAUAAUAUGCCAAUUAUUGCACCCUAGGCUCAUUCUAUGCGAGGCUUAUACGACCACAUUACCUCUAAUUUAAUAACUUCAAUAAAGUUGUGGUUUAACCAUUGUAGGCAACUAAGCACCACACAGCCACUCGCUCACUCCCUUCAAGUGGAACAGGGAAAAGAACUGGAAACAAAGAAGUUAAGUUGUUAAAUUUGAGGUACCAUUAAUGACUCAUCACAGUAAUGGCUACCUGGAAAGACGAAUGCCAUAACCCUGUACAUACCCCCAGCUCCUUCCCCUUCUUUCCCCCACCAUUUAUUGCUGGGAAUGAUGCUAAAUGGUGUGGAGUAUCCCCUUGGUCCUCUGGGGUCGGUUGUCCUGGCUGGGUCCCCUCCCAGCCUCUUGUGCAUACCCAACCUCCUCGCUGGCAGGGCGGUGUGAGAAACAGAAAAGGACUCGUCACUGUGCAAGCACUGCUCAGCAACAGCUAAAACACCAGUGCCUUACCAACACUGUUUUGGUCACAAAUCUGCAACGCAGCACCAUCUACUAUGAAGAAAAUUAACUCUACCCCCGCCCAAAUCAGUAUAAAUAGCUUGCCAUAAAAUGCACACCCCAUUCCCCCCCUGAAUCCCGCAGCAUUUGAAGCAGUUACACAAUCGCAUUAAACAGAAGUUUGCAAGGUCUAAGACUGAGAGAAGCAGAAUCAAAACAUUUGUGCGUUUUUCCCCAAACUGGCAUGCGACCCCAAUUUAUUCAGCCAAGCACAAACUAACAUUCAUUAGCUUCACGAGCACCACACAACUCGCAACAAAGCGGCAUACUCACCCGAAGAAGUACUGACAGCAAAAAGACUUACCUGGCCCGCCGCCGUGAUUGCCAUGUCUCCCGCCGCCAUUGAAUUUGUCAUGCUCGUCGUAGUCGUCGCCGCUGAAUUUGUCUUGCUCUUUGCCAGUGUUAGAUAAGGUAUGGCUGUCGCCACUGCUGGGUACGUCACGCCCGCCGACACCGUUGGAUAUGUCACGCUCCCCCCUGCCAUCGAGUAUGUCAUUUGUUCUACCUCCUCCUCCUCCUCUAGAUAUGUCAUGUUCGCCUCCGCUGCUGAUGGAUUGCCCGCCCCCGGCGCUGCAGCUGGAUUUCCCACCCCCGGCGCUACUGCCGGGUUUCCCUCGCCUGCUGCUGCAUUUCCUGCAACCGCAUCUGCUUUGCGACUUCCCAUAUCUCCUGCUGCUUCUCCAUGGCCCGUGCCCGUCGCUUCCACUCUUCUUGAAAUUCCUGUUUUCGCCGCUCGAUUAUCCAGGCCAGCUCCUUCUGCAGGGCUUCCCAUGCCUUUUGCUUCUGCUGGAUUCGCUCUUCCCGUCGCUGCUGCCGGCGUUGCCAUGCCCAGCGCUGCAGCAGGCGUUGCAAUGCCCGUUGCUGCCUCUGGAGUGGCAACGCCCUUUGCUGCUGCUGGAAUUGCCAUGCCUGUCGCAGCUGCUGGAGUUGCCAUGCUCGUUGCAGCUGUUGAAACAGCGCUUGGUGACACCCAGACAGCACUACUACCAACAAAACUAAAAUUGAACUGAGGCAGCGACGCAGUACCGAUGGGUAGGGGGAUUUUCGGUAGCACUGGUUCCUCCACUUCCUAAAGUUGUAAAAGAAAAAUUUAAAUUUACCAGACGUACUUUUACAAGACUACUUUCUCACAUUGUCCCACCCAAUUUAUUAACAAAAUGAAAUCAAACAAAAACCCAUGCAAAUUCAGAGAAAGCAAGUUUCCAGAAGAAAGCCUGAUCUCCCUACCUCUGUCUACUAGGUCAUUUUAAUUUAUGGCAGGCCUGCUUCCACAUAAUACUCUGUUCAACAACUGUACAGCAAGAACACUGAAAGUUAACUCAAAACCUGUGCAGAACAAAGAGGCACAGAUCAGAUUUUUCUUUUCCUUUCCUAUACUUUGGUCAUCAGAGCUCUAGAGAAGCAUCAUCCUUUCUAACUACCCUCACACCUCUUCAAUUAAGAGUACACUCUCAAGACAAAUGAGAAAGCGUUCCUCUUGCAAAAUUAGGCAGGAGGGUUGCCAAAGUUUCUAAAGUCACUACAGCAGUGAACGUGGAAAAAGGUAAUGUUUCAAGAAGCAGGUAGCUUCAACAACCAACCUAAACGCAAAAAGCACCAAAGAAAGUCAGACUAGCAGCACUGAAGACUCUAUUCUGGUAAAUACAGCCCAUACCACGUAUCGGGACACAAAUGCAAAAAUCAGAAAACGCUGUUUUCAAAACUUCCAUUUUUAUCCCUUCCACUUACUUUAUUUGAUUACUAAGAUUGGAUGAGUUAUGUUUUAAAUGACGUAGACAAUCUGAUCAAAAUUUCAACACUACUAUCACGAUCUACUUAGAAAUGACUAGGCAGGGACGUAAGGAGGUACUACUGAUAUUCAGUGCAUAAGGCAGCCUACGUCUGUUUCACUGUUUUGAUUUGAAAAAUUUAUGAACUUAGGAUAUUUGGAUCAUGUUUGGACCAUUUAAUGUCCCAUUUAAUGUUUUUAAACUUAAAUUAAAUACUUAAUAUUAAAUAUUAAAUGCUUUAAUUAAUAAAUAACAUUUAAAUUAAAACUA